CCUACGGGAGGCAGCAGUGGGGAAUUUUCCGCAAUGGGCGAAAGCCUGACGGAGCAACGCCGCGUGAGGGAUGAAGGCCUCUGGGCUGUAAACCUCUUUUAUCAAGGAAGAAGAUCUGACGGUACUUGAUGAAUAAGCCACGGCUAAUUCCGUGCCAGCAGCCGCGGUAAUACGGGAGUGGCAAGCGUUAUCCGGAAUUAUUGGGCGUAAAGCGUCCGCAGGCGGUCUUGUAAGUCUGUCGUUAAAGCGUGGAGCUUAACUCCAUUUCGGCGGUGGAAACUACAAGACUAGAGUGUGGUAGGGGCGGAGGGAAUUCCCGGUGUAGCGGUGAAAUGCGUAGAUAUCGGGAAGAACACCAGUGGCGAAGGCGCUCUGCUGGGCCAUAACUGACGCUCAUGGACGAAAGCUAGGGGAGCGAAAGGGAUUAGAUACCCCUGUAGUCCUAGCCGUAAACGAUGAACACUAGGUGUCGGGGAAUCGACCCCCUCGGUGUCGUAGCUAACGCGUUAAGUGUUCCGCCUGGGGUAGUACGCGACGCGAGUGUGAACGUACGAAGAAGUAGACGGCGUGAGACGUGCCGACGGACGACGACGAGGGAGGUAGG
rnacentral:rRNA from 1 species